rnacentral:rRNA from 1 species
GUGUGGGAAGAAGGCCUUCGGGUUGUAAACCACUUUUGGCAGGGAAGAAAUGGCCUGUGUGAAUACCACGGGUUGAUGACGGUACCUGCAGAAUAAGCACCGGCUAACUACGUGCCAGCAGCCGCGGUAAUACGUAGGGUGCGAGCGUUAAUCGGAAUUACUGGGCGUAAAGCGUGCGCAGGCGGUUGGGAAAGAUAGGUGUGAAAUCCCUGGGCUUAACCUAGGAAUUGCAUUUAUGACUGCCCGACUGGAGUACGGUAGAGGGGAGUGGAAUUCCGCGUGUAGCAGUGAAAUGCGUAGAUAUGCGGAGGAACACCGAUGGCGAAGGCAGCUCCCUGGACCUGUACUGACGCUCAUGCACGAAACGCGUGGGGAGCAAACAGGAUUAGAUACCCUGGUAGUCCACGCCCUAAACGAUGUCGACUGGUUGUUGGACGGGAAACUGUUCAGUAACGAAGCUAACGCGUGAAGUCGACCGCGCUGGG